rnacentral:tRNA from 1 species
GCCCGGUUAGCUCAGUCGGUAGAGCGUUGGACUUUUAAUCCAAAUGUCGGGGGUUCGACCCCCCCAUCGGGCG